rnacentral:rRNA from 1 species
AGUGUCUUGUGGAAUCCCACGGCUCAACCGUGGAAUGGCAGGGCAUACUGCGCCCCUUGAGGCCGGUAGGGGGUGUCGGAACUGUAGGUGUAGCGGUGAAAUGCGUAGAUAUCUACAGGAACGCCGAAGGCGAAGGCAGACACCUGGGCCGGUUCUGACGCUGAGGCACGAAAGCGUGGGGAGCGAACGGGAUUAGAUACCCCGGUAGUCCACGCCGUAAACGUUGUGCACUAGGUCCCGGCAGCUCUGACGCUGUCGGGGCCGCAGCAAAAGCAUUAAGUGCACCGCCUGGGGAGUACGGUCGCAAGGCUAAAACUCAAAGGAAUUGACGGGGGCUCACACAAGCGGUGGAGCAUGUGGCUUAAUUCGAGGCAACGCGAAGAACCUUAUCCUGGGUUUGACAUGCACGGAUUAGCUGUUGGAAACAGCAGUGACGCUCUUUGAGUGGAACGUGCACAGGUGCUGCAUGGCUGUCGUCAGCUCGUGCUGUGAAGUGUCGGGUUAAGUCCCUUAACGAGCGAAACCCCUACCACUAGUUGCUAACGGGUUAUGCCGAGGACUCUAGCGGGACUGCCGGUGUCAAACCGGAGGAAGGUGGGGAUGACGUCAAGUCCUCAUGGCCUUUAUGCCCAGGGCUGCACACGUGCUACAAUGGCGCGUACAAAGCGAAGCAAUGCCGCGAGGCGGAGCAAAUCGCACAAAGCGCGCCUCAGUUCGGAUUGCAGUCUGCAACUC